rnacentral:tRNA from 1 species
GGGCUGUAGCUCAGUUGGCUAGAGCGCCUGCCUUGCAAGCAGGAGGUCAGGAGUUCGACUCUCCUUAGCUCC